rnacentral:rRNA from 1 species
CAAUAGCGUAUAUUUAAGUUGUUGCAGUUAAAAAGCUCGUAGUUGGAUUUCGGUUAAGAGCGACCGGUCCGCCGUUUGGUGUGCACUGGUUGGUUUUAACUUCCUGUAGAGGACGUGCUCUGGGUUUAACGACCUGGACUCGGAGUCUACGUGGUUACUUUGAAAAAAUUAGAGUGUUCAAAGCGGGCUUACGCUUGAAUAUUUCAGCAUGGAAUAACACUAUAGGACUCCUGUCCUAUUUCGUUGGUCUCGGGACGGGAGUAAUGAUUAAGAGGAACAGUUGGGGGCAUUCGUAUUUCAUUGUCAGAGGUGUAAUUCUUGGAUUUAUGAAAGACGAACUUCUGCGAAAGCAUUUGCCAAGGAUGUUUUCAUUAA